UUUUAUGGAGAGUUUGAUCCUGGCUCAGAGUGAACGCUGGCGGCGUGCCUAAUACAUGCAAGUCGAACGAUGAAGCUUCUAGCUUGCUAGAAUGCUGAUUAGUGGCGCACGGGUGAGUAACGCAUAGGUCAUGUGCCUCUUAGUUUGGGAUAGCCAUUGGAAACGAUGAUUAAUACUAGAUACUCCCUACGGGGGAAAGAUUUAUCGCUAAGAGAUCAGCCUAUGUCCUAUCAGCUUGUUGGUAAGGUAAUGGCUUACCAAGGCUAUGACGGGUAUCCGGCCUGAGAGGGUGAACGGACACACUGGAACUGAGACACGGUCCAGACUCCUACGGGAGGCAGCAGUAGGGAAUAUUGCUCAAUGGGGGAAACCCUGAAGCAGCAACGCCGCGUGGAGGAUGAAGGUUUUAGGAUUGUAAACUCCUUUUGUUAGAGAAGAUAAUGACGGUAUCUAACGAAUAAGCACCGGCUAACUCCGUGCCAGCAGCCGCGGUAAUACGGAGGGUGCAAGCGUUACUCGGAAUCACUGGGCGUAAAGAGCGCGUAGGCGGGAUAGUCAGUCAGGUGUGAAAUCCUAUGGCUUAACCAUAGAACUGCAUUUGAAACUACUAUUCUAGAGUGUGGGAGAGGUAGGUGGAAUUCUUGGUGUAGGGGUAAAAUCCGUAGAGAUCAAGAGGAAUACUCAUUGCGAAGGCGACCUGCUGGAACAUUACUGACGCUGAUUGCGCGAAAGCGUGGGGAGCAAACAGGAUUAGAUACCCUGGUAGUCCACGCCCUAAACGAUGGAUGCUAGUUGUUGGAGGGCUUAGUCUCUCCAGUAAUGCAGCUAACGCAUUAAGCAUCCCGCCUGGGGAGUACGGUCGCAAGAUUAAAACUCAAAGGAAUAGACGGGGACCCGCACAAGCGGUGGAGCAUGUGGUUUAAUUCGAAGAUACACGAAGAACCUUACCUAGGCUUGACAUUGAGAGAAUCCGCUAGAAAUAGUGGAGUGUCUGGCUUGCCAGACCUUGAAAACAGGUGCUGCACGGCUGUCGUCAGCUCGUGUCGUGAGAUGUUGGGUUAAGUCCCGCAACGAGCGCAACCCCCUUUCUUAGUUGCUAACAGGUCAUGCUGAGAACUCUAAGGAUACUGUCUCCGUAAGGAGGAGGAAGGUGGGGACGACGUCAAGUCAUCAUGGCCCUUACGCCUAGGGCUACACACGUGCUACAAUGGGGUGCACAAAGAGAAGCAAUACUGCGAAGUGGAGCCAAUCUUCAAAACAUCUCUCAGUUCGGAUUGUAGGCUGCAACUCGCCUGCAUGAAGCUGGAAUCGCUAGUAAUCGCAAAUCAGCCAUGUUGCGGUGAAUACGUUCCCGGGUCUUGUACUCACCGCCCGUCACACCAUGGGAGUUGUGUUUGCCUUAAGUCAGGAUGCUAAAUUGGCUACUGCCCACGGCACACACAGCGACUGGGGUGAAGUCGUAACAAGGUAACCGUAGGUGAACCUGCGGUUGGAUCACCUCCUUUCUAGA
rnacentral:rRNA from 1 species